GACGAACGCUGGCGGCGUGCUUAACACAUGCAAGUCGAACGAUGAAGCCGGAGCUUGCUCUGGUGAAUUAGUGGCGAACGGGUGAGUAACACGUGAGUAACCUGCCCUUGACUCUGGGAUAACUGCGGGAAACUGUAGCUAAUACCGGAUACGACCCUCGGAGGCAUCUCCUGGGGGUGGAAAGAAUUUCGGUCAAGGAUGGACUCGCGGCCUAUCAGCUAGUUGGUGAGGUAAAGGCUCACCAAGGCGACGACGGGUAGCCGGCCUGAGAGGGUGACCGGCCACACUGGGACUGAGACACGGCCCAGACCCCUACGGGAGGCAGCAGUAGGGAAUAUUGCACAAUGGGCGCAAGCCUGAUGCAGCAACGCCGCGUGAGGGAUGACGGCCUUCGGGUUGUAAACCUCUUUUAGCAGGGAAGAAGCGAAAGUGACGGUACCUGCAGAAAAAGCACCGGCUAACUACGUGCCAGCCGCCGCGGUAA
rnacentral:rRNA from 1 species